rnacentral:misc_RNA from 1 species
AUUUUCUUGUUAAAAAUCACGUUAAAAUGGCCGAUAGUUCUGGAAGUGAUGAAGGUAAUAAUAAUUACUGUUACCCAACAAAUAUUCACAUUUUUGAUUUUAAAUACAAACGCGAUGAAAGCUUGGAUAACUUAUAUGCUUGUAUUUCUAAUGAACUUAUCACAUAUUUAUCUGAUAAUAAAAACGAAACAAAACAGUCCAGCUUAUAUAAUAGUGAAAACACGGGAAAUAUCAUAGUUGCUCAUAAAGUUCUUGAAAUAAAAGACAAAGUUAAAUGUUCUGUUUUAAAUAAAAAGUAUGUGUUUGUAUUAAAGUGUAAUGGAAAAUGCAGCCGAAUUCCAUUUUUAAAAAUUAGCGAAGAAAAAAAAUACUUUAAGUAUCCCUUAUGCAGCGAUUCCGAUUUUGAAGCAUCGUCAUCUAAAGAAUCAUCUGAAAAAGUUUUUAAUAUUAAGAAUGAAAAUAUUUCUCAAAAAUAUAUAUUUUCUCUUGACCCUAAUCCAUCUACUAUACACACAGAAGAGUUUGCUGAAGAGGUUUUUCAGCAAAUCCCAACUACUAAUGGUGGAGACUGUAUGUCAUAUAUACAAUCUAAUAGGACAUUUUUACCAUUCAGUGAUAAUAUUCAAACUGCACCAAAUUAUAAUUCACCCAGAUAUAUUCCAUAUAUGCAACGAAAUAUACAUAGAAGUAAUCAAAUCCAGAGUUCAAAUGCAAGGGGAAACAUAAUACAUAUUCCGAACAGUACUAACUCAAUAUUUUAUGAUAGUGAAGAAUCUAGUGAACUUAAUCCUUUUCACAUUAUAAACAGUUGUUCUUCAAACAUGCAAGAAAUUCCAAUAAAUUUGGUUGUGAAUAACACUUUUCCUUUUGAAUUAACAUCUGAACCUUUGAGCAGAAAUAAUAUUGACUCAACAAUAAUACAAGACCAAAAUGAUUUUUUUAGUUCUAACAAUAUGGCUCAAUUGCCACAAAUUGUUUUAGAAGAACCACAAAUUUCAAAUUCUAGUAUGUUAGAUUGCUUGACAUACGAAACAGAUGAAAGUAAUACAGAAAAAGAAAAACCACAAAACUUUGAACUUCAAGGAGACGACUUUAAUGAUAAAAAAAGUCAAAGUAAACUUUUUGACAAACAUUUAGGAAGUGAAGUAAUAUCCUGUCAGAAUUUAAAAGUUCAAUCAAUUUAUGCCAUGGAAAGUGGAUUUAUUUUAUUAGAUUCAGAUGGCGUUGUUUGGUUUUUGAACAAUAAUGAAGAGCUUCCUGUUAAACUUGAAUAUGAAUGGAAUGGGUUAAAUGAUAAGGUUGUUUUAAUAGGUUGCAGUGGCUAUAGAAUGACACUCCUCCUUGCUUCAAAUAAGCUUGUAACUCUACAUGAUUAUUCCUUUCAAUAUGUUAACAAAGGAGCAUGGCCAAGUCUUAUUCGUAUAUUGACACAUGAACCUGUAGCAUUUGACGAGUUGCAAUUAGAAACUAUAAUUGAUAUAAAAUGUUCAUUUUUUCAUACUGUAGUCCACACUCUGUCUGGGAAAGUUUUUUGGUGGGGUUUGGCUCCAUCGAACGAGAGGCAUGAUCAAAAAUGUAUUAAGCAAACAAAAAGUUGUAAAAAAGAUCUUAAAGUUGGAGAUACUGUUAUGCUAGAAAAAUCUGAAAAGGUUGAAAAAGAUGCUUUAGUUUUCAAUCAUAAGUUAAUGAAAUUUGGUGUGGUUGUACCCAACACAUCAAAUGAAGAAGAUAAACUUUAUGAUGUUUCACGAAGGCAUAUUCGAGUUAUUGAUCUAGAAGCUAAACCAGUACUUAAAUGUAAAGAGCAUAUGUACAUUGAUAUCUGGGAUGUAAAAAAUAUUGUUUUUUUAGAAGAGAGUAAUACGUUCACUGGAAAAGUUAUAAGUUUUGAUGGACCUUAUGCUAUUGUGCAAAUGAAGGAGGAAUCUAGCGAUUUAAUUUAUCCGAAUGAAACACUUAAAGUCUGUUUAAAAACAUCGUUAGAAAAGUUAAAUGAUGAUGCAAUUAUUUCUCAAAGUAGAUAUAGAAAAUAUUUAUAUUUUAAACCCAUUCAGAUUUUUUUGGAUAAAAAAUACACUGUUUCUGCGAUUAGUUGUUCAGAAGCAGGAAUUACUUCACUAUUUGUACGAUUAAAUGAUGAUCAUGCUUUUUUAUCAACCCCAAAUUGUGAAAAUACUCAUUCGAAUUGGUUUACUUCAGGGAUUACAGAUGUGUUAAAAAGUAAAAAUGCUAAGAAUUGUACAACAGUUGAGUUUGAAUCUGUUGAUGCAAAUAAUGCCAACCUAUGUAUGAAAAACAUUACCAGUAAAAAGUUGGAGUUUAAAACGAAUCAAGAAGCUUGUAAGUUAGACUUGAGUAUUGAUUACACAGGUGUUCUUCUUGAAGCAAAGACUUAUCAAGAAUUGGAAUCAUUACUAGAAAAUCAAGAAAGUGUGCCUAAAAUUUCACGAUCAUUGUCUAUGCCUGUUACAUCUAUGAAGCGAAAGUUUGUUUCUGAAAAAGCAAAUCAUUUUUAUUCAAAAAAAAUUAUGAAACCUAAUAUAUAUUCUUUAGUUGGUGGAGCGUCUGGCAUAAUUAGUCUACUUUUUGAUAACAAAGGAUGUUUUUAUCCAACGCGGUUUGAUUGUUGUCUUCGCGAACCUCCUUUAUUUGAGAUGGGGCCUAUUAUCUCUUUUGCAUUGUUUGAGGAAAGUUUAUUUGUCAAUGAUGAAAGUUUGGUAACCAUAGUUGUUGUUGUGAAAGAAAAUGUUUUGGUUAAAGCUAUAAAAACUGGUGACAAAAAUGUUGUUUGCAAUCUUCUAAAUGAUGAUGGAUGGAAACGGAAAAAAAUGGAUGAAAAUUUCAUUUCUGUUACUUCAAAAAACAUUAGUUUUAAUGACAUGUUAGAUGAGUAUUGCAGUGGGAAUCAGAAUAUAAUGCACAUUUCUGCAAGUAACAUUUUGAAAACCAAAAGUUCAUCAUCAGUUCCUGGUAAUAUAAUGGAUGUUAGGAGUGAAGAAGAAAACUUUGUGCUUCAAAAAAUUUUAGAAAACAUGGAAUUUUGGGACAAAGUAAAAGAUCUGUUAUGUCAGCGUGAUACUCAUGGUUGUACUCCAUUCUUGAGAGCAAUAGUUUCACAUAAUUUACAUGGAGCCUACAUGAUACUAGAAGCUGUCAAAAAAAAUAAUAAAAAAAAGACAUUUGGUCAAGAUAAUACACUGCUAGAAAAAGCUAUAUUAAUGCCAUCCUCCUCUGGAUUAACACCUGUCCAUUGUUUAGUUCAUAGUUCAUCAAAAAAGCCUUAUUCACAACAAUGGUUUAACACUUUAAAAGUUUCUAACCUUCCCCAAAACUAUUCAUCUAGAUUACUUUUAAAGUUAUUCAAAUCACAUUUUCCAUCAGUAUAUCGUGCAAUGAUGCCUAUUCCUAAACCUUAUUGGACUCAGCAAUCUGUCAGAGAUAAAUUGAAAGAAAGAAAGAGCGUUCAGGAAGAGUUUGUGUCAAAAAAAUUGCCUAGUAGCUCACCACUUAUACGUCCUCCUGUUUUUCGUGCAUCAAUAACUCCAGGAUUGUCUUAUAGAGCUACACGUUACCAUCCCAACCAGGCUGAUGUAAUAAGAGCUAAUGCAAAAGAAGGUUUAGUUAUGUUUGGUGAUUUAAAUGAGAUGUUUCAAGCUCUUGCUGAAAUGAAUAACUAUGCGUUGUUAUCGAAAACAACACAUCCAAGUGGUGCCCUUCUUUCGGUUUGUCAGCAUAUGUUACAAGUUCAACAAUAUCAGGAAAAUGCACAAUCUGAUAAAGAUGAGCAGAUUCCAAUAUCAGCAGCAGGUUCAUCAAGUCCUCGUCCAUUAUUAGAACUGAGAAGAAAACUUACCGCUAUGCAUAAUAUGAACACACAAAAAUUGAUAAAUGAGCCCAACCAUCGAGAGGAGACAAUAAGCAAAUGUUUUGAUGAUAUAAUGGUUCAUUUACUUCUCACAUCACUCAUUGAUGCUGAUCCUAUGAUUGCUUUAAAGUCAAACAAAGAGGGAGAGUCUGCGUUUAGUUAUUUUAUAAAAACAUACCCGCGCUAUUCUCCUUCUCAUCUACAUAAACUUUUUCUUAAUUGGAGGCCUUGCAACUCUCAAAGCUGUAAAUACAUGCGGCAUGUUGGUAAACUUACAAUUACUCCACAAACGUUUUCUGAUUCAAAUACAAUAAAAAAGACCGAAGAAAAUUUGUGUAAAAAGGAUUCAGAGGAUGAGCAACAAAUAUUUAAUCCUAUCUUAGCAAGACGAGGUCUGCAAUCUCGAACUUCAUCUUUAAAAAUUAAUGUUGAUAGCAGUUCAUCUAGUAACGAUACGUUUCUAUGUAGCCCAUCUACUCCAGGUAUAAAACUGUUAGAAAAUUUAAAAUAUGGUCCUAUAGAACUUGCAGCUACUACAGGUCUUACACCACAAUCUUCUAGAAAAUCUGCUGCCAGUAACCCUUUUUUUUCAUCUUCUGGUUCUGAAACUAAUUCUAAUUUUUCGCAACCCAAAAAAACAGAUGGUUUAUGCACAUGCCACUUAAACAAAGCCCGUUUAUUAUGGAACACUACAUUUGAAGCAUCACAUUUUUUAUUAUCUAAAAACUGGCCAUCUAUUGUUUCAACAAUACUGUGGAAUUGGAACUACGAUCAUCAAGAUAUAGUGUCCUCUAAUAAACUGGAUACAUUUACUUCUAAUCUUUUGAUAAUUCCUUAUAGUAUAUUGCUUGAGGUUUUAGUAAAGACAUUAAUUGAAGAAUUUUCUUCAAGUCCUAUUAGUAAAAAUGUACCAUUGCUAUUGUCAUUACAGUCUAUGAAUCCAACUGAUAAUUUUUCUGAAAAAGCUUUUAAUGCAUUAGUACCAUGGCUUACUGUUCAACGAUUUGUAAGAUCCAUAGUACGACAAUUAUCUCUUUAUCUAAGCAAAAAUACUAUGUCUGAAACAAACCUGAAGUAUAAAAUAGGUCGCUAUGCAAACAAAAAUCACUUCAAGAAAGAAACAAGAAUGAAAGACAAUCUUUGCUUGUGUUUAAGGGCUUUUUCCUGGAUAUCAAUUAAUGAAAUUUUAAAAGCUGCUAUUUCAAUGUUGAAACCUAUUCAAAAUGGCACUGUUAAAGCGCAAGCAAAAGGGAUUAUUCAUGAUCAACAUCAACUAUCAGGGCGAACUACUCUAGGAAAUACAAACCUACAAAUGCAUGUUUCUUCUCGAAUGUCAUUAAGCAGUCGACCAGUUGUUAUUCGAUGUGCUACCAGGAAUACAGGAGUUAAUAAUUGUUUUGUACCUCCACCUACCAAUAUGUUACCUUAUAAUGAUAGCGAAAUGCUUUCAUCUUCUCCUAUCUUAGAGGAAGAUAAUUCUAGCAGUGAGGAAAAUGUAGAUGAUCCAUUUCCACCAUUGAACUCAAAUAAUAACCUGGAAUUAAAUGAGGUAGAGUGGCUUCAAGCUCCGGGAACUAGUGGUCCUAAUUCAAUUAACUGGGCUGUAGAUGGUCAUAUCCGUGUAAGGAAUGAAGUUUCAAGAGUGAUACCUCCUCCACCAGGAUUGUGGAGUUUUGGGCAGCAUAAUCAAUUGGCUCAGCAGGUCAUGAAUCUACCCUCUAUACAUGCUGGUUACCUCUAUCUUGCACGGAUGUUCUGCAGAUUAGUUAAAGAAGCUACUGAUAUUGCCGUUUUUUUAAAUGCAGAAAAUUUAGAGAAUACUGGAGUUUUUGUACUGCAACCAAUUAAGUUAACAAAUGAAGUUGAAUUAGAACUCAUGAAAGAAGCAAAAAAAAUUUUAUCUGGUAGCUGGAUAUGGAUGAAUAAUAUUUUGAAUUCUCUUGAGAAACAGUUAGAAGUUGGUCAAAAUUUUGAUACAAAGCAUUACGUUUUGCGCUUACGCAAAAAUACUCAUGAAGAAGAAAUAACUAAUCUUGGUCGACCAUCCAUGACACAUAUGUAUGGUUCAAGUCCAGAAGAAUACAUGAUACAUCUUCUUAAGCAUGACUCAGGGGAAGCUAAAGACUCUCUUCCUGUCUUAGAUUUGUUCAGUUAUGAGCAUAUUACAUACAUUUUGGAUGCUUAUCUUUAUACCAAAAAGAUGAAGUUAUUUGACUGUAAUAAAAAAUAUCCUCCAACAUGUCAAUCAAAUGUCCAAUCUGAUGCAAAUUUUUAUGGAAAAGUUUUUAAUUUGUUGAAAGAAAACGAUUUAAAUAAGUUUAGACAACACAUUGAUUGGACGAAACAUAUUGCUAACAACCCAUCUGUAUGGUUGGAUAAAAGUGGAAAUCACUUAACAAGCAGCCAAUCGAAUUCAUUUACAGAUGAUUCUUCAGAGUGGAAACGUGUUAUAGAUGCAUUUACAAUCCUUUUUUUGACUGAAGGACCUGGCUAUGAACGAGAAAGUUUUCUUUCUGCUAAGGCUGGUGCAGCUGGUCGAAUUUCUCGAUUUCAGAGAUCAUUAGCAGCUGUCCGAGGCAACAGUAAUGGUGGUGGUGACCAGGUCCAUAUAUCUAAUAAUCAAGAAAAUCCAUCUUUAUUAAUGAAUAUUGACCGUAUGAGACUGCUUGAUGAUUGUAUGGAAAUUCUAAUGCAGAAUAUGGAUACCCAUCCCUUCGGAAGUAUACGUGUUCGUUUUGAAGGCGAGGAGGGUACAGGACCAGGUGUUUCUCGUGGUUUAUUUCCAGCUUUAGCAAAUGCACUUAAAGAAGGGCAAAAAUACAAAGACUGGCCUAUACCGUUUUUUGCUGAGUAUGGGAAUCUUCCUGCACAGCGGGGUAUUUAUUCACCAGUAAGUGGUCGCUACAAGUGCUCAGAUACGUCUCUGCCAUACUUUUGCGAACCAAUGACUGAGGAAAAACGAUACAAUGCAUUUUUGGCGCUUGGCCGUUUCCUUGGAUUGACAAUGUGGUUUAAUCAAACAAUACCUUUUAUUUUAUCGAGACCUGUUCUUCUGUUUCUGCUAAACAGGGAAGAAGAAAUUAAAUUUGAUGACCUUGCUUUUUUUGACUCCCUUCUGUAUGACAGUUUUUCACACAUGAUUAAUGAUGCAUUUUCCUCUAGUUGUUCUGAGGAGGAGUUUGAAGCUUGUUACUGUUGUUAUUUUCAGACUUUAUACUAAACAUUUAUUGAUAUCAUCAAGAGAAAAUGAACUUCUAGGACUACGUGAAGGAUUACAACAAAUGGUACCAAAAGAUCUGCUUGAAACUCUUGAACCUGAGGAUCUUCAAUUAAUUCUUUCAGGAGGGCCUGAUGACGUCAGCUAUAUAAGGUUGCGUUCACUUAUUACUUUUAGUAACAAUAGAGCUUUUUCAAAAGAGCUUUUAGAAAGAUAUAAGAGGUGGUUUUGGAGUAUAGUAAUUAAAAUGACACCGUUAGAACGUCAAAAACUACUUUAUUUUGCGACAGGAUCUGCAAUGCUUCCUGCUUUAAAUAAUCGAGUUGGAAG